CUACGGGAGGCUGCAGUGAGGAAUAUUUGUCAAUGGGCGCAAGCCUGAACCAGCCAUCCCGCGUGAAGGAAGAAUGCGCUAUGCGUUGUAAACUUCUUUUCCAGGGGAAUAAAAUUCUGUACGCGUACGGGAUUGAAGGUACCCUGGGAAUAAGCAUCGGCUAACUCCGUGCCAGCAGCCGCGGUAAUACGGAGGAUGCGAGCGUUAUCCGGAUUUAUUGGGUGCAAAGGGUGCGUAGGCGGUCAGAUGUGAAAACCUUCAGCUUAACUGGAGACUUGCCAUUGAUACUGUUAGUCUUGAGUGUGGUUAAGGUAGGCGGAAUGUGUAAUGUAGCGGUGAAAUGCUUAGAUAUUACACAGAACACCGAUUGCGAAGGCAGCUUACUGAGCCAUAACUGACGCUGAUGCACGAAAGCGUGGGGAGCGAACAGGAUUAGAUACCCGGGUAGUC
rnacentral:rRNA from 1 species